rnacentral:rRNA from 1 species
UAGGGAAUCUUCCGCAAUGGACGCAAGUCUGACGGAGCAACGCCGCGUGAGUGAAGAAGGAUUUCGGUUCGUAAAACUCUGUUGUUAGAGAAGAACAGCGCAUAGAGUAACUGUUAUGCGUGUGACGGUAUCUAACCAGAAAGCCACGGCUAACUACGUGCCAGCAGCCGCGGUAAUACGUAGGUGGCAAGCGUUGUCCGGAUUUAUUGGGCGUAAAGCGAGCGCAGGCGGUCAAUUAAGUCUGAUGUGAAAGCCCCCGGCUCAACCGGGGGGGGUCAUUGGAAACUGGUUGACUUGAGUGCAGAAGAGGAUAGUGGAAUUCCAUGUGUAACGGUGAAAUGCGUAGAUAUAUGGGGGAACACCAAUGGCGAGGGCGACUCUCUGGUCUGUAACUGACGCUGAGGCUCGAAAGCGUGGGUAGCAAACAGG